GGUGAUGCCUGGAACAGAAGGCUGCAGGACUUCUUCGACAGGUUGCUGCUCCAAGUUUAGGAAGAUUUUUGAAGAUCUUCCUAAUCAGAUUUAGAUCUGAUUUUUGGAGCAUAGAUUCAUGAGGAGAAGAUGUUUCAGGUUUUGCCUGAGUGGAUAUCGAUAGAGGCCAGGUGCUUGUGUGGCUACAUCAGAACCUCGAGCUGUGUAGAGA
rnacentral:lncRNA from 1 species